rnacentral:rRNA from 1 species
AACAAACGCUGGCGGCAGGCUUCAUACAUGCAAGUCGAGCGGAAAGGCCCUUCGGGGUACUCGAGCGGCGAACGGGUGAGUAACAGGUGGACAAUCUGCCCUCUGGCGGGGGACAACAGCUGGAAACGGCUGCUAAUACCGCAUGUGGUUGCAUGCCCCAGGGUGUGCAAAGAAAGGCGCGUUUGCGUCACCAGAGGAUGAGUCCGCCCCCCAUUAGCUAGUUGGUGGUGAUAACAGCGCACCAAGGCUUCGAUGGGUAGGCCGAGCUGAGAGGUUGAUCGGCCACACU